rnacentral:rRNA from 1 species
UACGUAGGUGGCAAGCGUUAUCCGGAAUUAUUGGGCGUAAAGCGCGCGUAGGCGGUUUUUUAAGUCUGAUGUGAAAGCCCACGGCUCAACCGUGGAGGGUCAUUGGAAACUGGAAAACUUGAGUGCAGAAGAGGAAAGUGGAAUUCCAUGUGUAGCGGUGAAAUGCGCAGAGAUAUGGAGGAACACCAGUGGCGAAGGCGACUUUCUGGUCUGUAACUGACGCUGAUGUGCGAAAGCGUGGGGAGCAAACAG